rnacentral:ncRNA from 1 species
GAUAAAUCAGUGAAUAAGAAGAGUAGGUAUGUUUAACAAUUCCAGAGAGUUGGGAAUGGUGGGAACCCAAUAUUUAAAAACAUAUUGAAUGGGCUUAUGAGUGGAAUCCGAAAUAUGAAAUGUAAAGUAGGUGACACGGGCAUCUCCCGUUAUAGAGAUAGGAUAUCGGAGUUUAUUAAAAUUUCCCGUAUCUGAAAAAGCGGAUUGUAAUUUCUAAAAAUAGUUUAUUACAAUCAAUUGAGGUGGCACCACGGUGAAUAUCGCCCUCUAU